GUUAUUUGGAUGAAAUGCUUAUUUCUUUUUUAACAUAAGCAUUGACUGGAAAUAUUGGUUAUUCUGUCUGAUAUUACAUGAAGGUCAGAUGCCCUCCAUGCAACCAUGAGGUCGGAUGGCAGUUUGAUGCUGAACCAGCAAACAAGCCUACUCAGCAUGAAACUAUGAGUAUAAAAACCUUUAUGAUGACCUACCUCCACUUGGAUCAAUGAAGAGAAGAAGAGUUGUGGACAUAGACACAUACAGAGAGAAGACCAUGUGAAGUCACAGGGAGAAGACAGCCACCUACAUACCAAGGAGAGAGGCUGUACAAGAAACCAACCCUGAUGACACCUUGAUCUUGGACUUCCAGCUUCCAGAUUUACAGGAAAAUAAAUUUCCGUUGUUUAAGCCA